CUUCAGUUUUUGGCACAGAAGGCAGAAUAUUCACUAUGGACUGGUCCCCUCUCCUGCUCACUUUCCUCGCUUUCUGUACAGGAUCCCAGGCCCAGUCUGUGCUGACUCAGCCAGCGUCAGUCUCUGGGAAUCUAGGACAGAGGGUCACCAUCUCCUGCACUGGAAGCAGCAGCAACAUCGGAGCUGGGUAUCCUGUGCAUUGGUACCAGCAGCUUUCAGGAGCAGCCCCCAAACUCCUCAUCUAUAGUAAUAGCAAUCGGCCCUCGGGUGUCCCUGACCGAUUCUCUGGUUCCAAGUCUGGCUCCUCGGGCUCCCUGACAAUCACUGGGCUCCAGCCUGGAGAUGAGGCUGGUUAUUUCUGUCAGGCCUAUGACAAAGGCCUCAAAAUUUACACAGUGCUCCAGAGCCACAGGGAAGUGAAACAAAAACCUACUUCCUCUACCAGGAAGAUGAGGGGAAUGAGGUGUUCUGUGCUCCUGUGGGACUGUCUGAAGCUGUGGACUCAAGACAGCAAGCUCCACAUCUUUAGAGCAUUUAACUGGCAGGCCCACAUGCCUGAAGAGCCAGCUGCAGGCAG